GCUGCCUGGGAGGGCCCCAGGAGUCUGGACGUUUGCUGUUUGAACAUGUUCAUGUUCCAUUUCUGAUAUUUUCUGUAAUAGACUCUUCCCUGUCCCUCUUAACAUUCAUAAGUGGGCAUUCAGUGGAGUGGGGGUUUUACGUAAGGAGGCUAUUUUGUGGGACUGAAGAGUUUCAACAACCUCUGGAAUGAAUAUAAAUAAAUAUGGCCAAGGAGACCAUUCUGACUUGCUGUGAUCCAGUAAUAAGUUAUCAAGGUUCAAUACAAAAGUGCAAGGUUACUUGUACCAAGGAACAGGUGGCUGCAUCCAUGGUAGGGGUCUCCUGGCCUUAGAAACCCAAAUUUGUUUUUUCUUACAGAUGCUAGUAUCUGGAUCCUCAUUGAUUCCAAUGAGAUGUAAACAUUGGUUGGAAUGAUCCCCAUUUUCAGGUGAAUAAUAAGACUCAGAGAAUAAAUUACCUGCCCCAAGAUCACACACUACUGUAGAAGUCAGGAACAAAUUUGGGUCUUCUGUUCCCUGAAAUAGUAAGCCUUUUCUACUCUUACACAUUCAGAGUACCAAACAGGUCGUUUUUUAACCCUUCCCUCCUUUCUCUCCCUCCUCUCUAGGAGUCCACAGUAUCUGUUGUUGCCAUCUUCAUGUUCAUAAGCACUCAGUGUUUAGCUCUCACUUGUAAGUGAGAACAUGCAGUAUUUGGUUUUCUGUUCCUGUGUUAACAUGCUUAGGAUAGUGACUUCCAGCUGUAUCCAUGCUACAAAGGACACGAUUGCCUUCUUUUUUAAUGGCUUUGACUGUUAGCAGUUUCUAAAUAUUCUUCUGGAAAACAUUUGUGUAUAUAUGUAUGUUGGUAUUUACAUAUAUGAAUGUGUCUUAUUGUUUUACAGUUAAUUUUUUUUAUUCGUCUGCUGUUUUAAUGUAGCCCGUGAAAUUGUUACGUAAUUCCUUAUAUUUUUCCAAAAAGAUUAUUAACUAGUUUCUUCCAGCUCAAUCCUAUUUGCCAAUAAUCCUUUCCCAGUUCAUUCUGUAAGGCUAAGUCUUCAUCUCCAAUCCCUGAUCCAACCCUGGCCAGGACUCUAGCCCUGUUUGUUAUAAGAAAGUUUCCAGUUGGGUGCAUUAGGAUUUUUUGGUUUGAAAAGACA